rnacentral:rRNA from 1 species
CUUGGUCAUUUAGAGGAAGUAAAAGUCGUAACAAGGUUUCCGUAGGUGAACCUGCGGAAGGAUCAUUAACUAGUAUUGAAGUCCACGGGGAUCAGGCUUUCCGAAAGGAGGGUGGGGGGAUGUUUGGUUCCCCCUGCUUGGGCAGACUGGAGAGCAUUGUGUAGCCACUUUUGUUGGCUACGUUAUGUUUGGCCUCUGCUGAUCGAGCUUGUCACCUGAAUUCUACUACCCUUGCUUUUUGCGCACCCAUUGUUUCCUCGGUAGGCUUGCCUGCCAGUAGGACCAUUUAAAACCCUUUGUGAUUGCAAUCAGCGUCAGAAACAACGUAAUCGUUACAACUUUCAACAGAGGAUCUCUUGGCUCUUGUAUCGAUGAAGAACGCAGCAAAGCGCGAAAUGUAGUGAACAUAGCAGCACAAUUGUGAAUCAUCGAAUCUUUGAACGCACAUUGCGCCUCCGGUAGCUCGGAGGCAUGCCUGUCUGAGCGUCAUUUAAAACCAUGGACCCAGGAUUGGGUCCGUAUUGGGCGUCGCCCCCCUCUCCAGAGUGGCGCGUGGCCUCAAAGACAUUGGUCUCACAUGCGGACGAGCUCCCCUGGGACAGACCGCGUGGAGACCCUAAGCAUCUGACUUUGAUCUCAGAUCAGGUAGGACUACCGCCUGAACUUAAGCAUAUCAAUAAGCGGAGGA